AUGCCUAAACAUGCAAGUCGAACGAGAUCUUCGGAUCUAGUGGCGCACGGGUGAGUAACGCGUGGGAACCUACCUUUUAGUACGGGACAACGUUUGGAAACGAACGCUAAUACCGUAUACGCCCUUCGGGGGAAAGGUCAGCCGCUAAAAGAGGGGCCCGCGUCUGAUUAGCUUGUUGGUAAGGUAAUGGCUUACCAAGGCUACGAUCAGUAGCUGGUCUGAGAGGAUGAUCAGCCACACUGGGACUGAGACACGGCCCAGACUCCUACGGGAGGCAGCAGUGGGGAAUAUUGGACAAUGGAGGCAACUCUGAUCCAGCAAUGCCGCGUGUGUGAUGAAGGCCUUAGGGUUGUAAAGCACUUUCAACGGUGAAGAUGAUGACGGUAGCCGUAGAAGAAGCCCCGGCUAACUU
rnacentral:rRNA from 1 species